UUAAGUUUUCCUAUUUACAUCGAAAUCGUCUUUUAGUCGGCUCCCUGAUAUCGAUCGAUUUUUUUUUGGGAAAGAAGUUCCACAGACGAUGCCGACGGAUUCGAAAAUGGCAAAGUUUCUUCAAUCCUAUGGAUAUGAUUUGAUUCUGGGAUCUAUAGCUGCAAUUUAUGUGGUCAUGGCACCAUACACUAAGGUGGAAGAGAGCUUCAACGUACAGUCAAUGCACGACAUUCUUUACCAUCGUCUUAAUUUCAACUCUUAUGAUCAUUUGGAGUUCCCUGGUGUUGUCCCUCGAACUUUUAUUGGAGCAUUCAUAGUCUCUUUUAUCGCAUCACCCGUCGUAUCAGUUAUCAGCUGGCUUGGCUUCCCCAAGAUUUAUAAUCUUGUUGCAGCUCGUUUGGUGUUGGGCUGCAUCAUAUUAUCCACACUAAGAUUUUUCCGGAUUCAGAUAAGAAAAAAUUUCGGACAUCAAGUGGAAUCUUUCUUUGUACUUCUCACCAGUCUUCAGUUUCAUCUGCUUUUCUACUGCACUCGUCCUCUACCUAAUAUUCUAGCUUUUGGAUUAGUUAAUCUCGCAUAUGGUAAUUGGUUAAAGGGAAACUUUUAUUCUGCUUUGAGCUUCCUGAUUUUUGCCACUGUAAUCUUCAGAUGCGAUGUGAUGUUACUUCUUGGGCCUAUCGGUCUUCAAUUUUUAAUGACCAAAUCGAUCUCCUUCUGGAAAGCACUUAAAUAUUGUGUUGGAACCGCUGUGGUGGCUGUAGGUCUUACCAUUUCCGUUGACUCUAUUAUGUGGAAGAAGUUUGUCUGGCCAGAAUUUGAAGUUUUCUGGUUUAACUCCAUUCUGAACCGGAGUUCUGACUGGGGUACACAUUCCAUUCAUUGGUACUUCACCUCAGCACUCCCACGGUCUUUACUUGUAGCUUAUCCUCUUUCCCUGCUUGGUACCUUACUUGACAGGAGGGUUCCAUUCCUUAUUCUUCCAGUUUUAUCCUUUGUUAUACUCUACUCUAAACUUCCACACAAGGAACUACGCUUUAUUAUUAGUUCAGUGCCAAUGCUCAACUUAUCUGCUGCAGUUGCUGCCAGUAGAAUCUACAAUAACAAGAAGAAAGCUAUUUGGAAACUCGUGAACAUGGUUAUGCUAGCAUUAUUUGCAAUCAGUGCAGGGUGCACGGUUGUAACAUUCAUGGCAUCUUACAACAACUAUCCAAGCGGCUAUGCUCUUAAGCGUUUGCAUCAGAUAAGCCCAAAUGUAGCGGGAGAAGAGUGGGUUCACAUAGACACUUUUAGUGCGAUGAAUGGAAUAUCCCGCUUUUGUGAAGAUGGUUUUCCGUGGAGGAGGAGAUAAAUUUUCUUGUGCAAAGCAGAUACUCAAAAGAAGAAGAGAUAGUGGUGGAGGAGUUGCGAAACCGAAAUUUCACUUACCUUGUGAACGAGCACCCAUAUGUGGAUGGAUACAAGUGCUUAUUUUCUGAAGAAGGAUUUGAAAGAGUUGAACUACGGCGAGGUUUCCCUCCCAUUGUUCUGGUAAAAAGAGCGAAAGUAUACGUGCACCGGGAUAUGAAGAAGGAAGAUCAUUUGCAUAAGAUAUGGCCAGGAUGUUAGAGACAUUGUUUAUGUGGUACAGACAGCUUUGUUAUCCUUAAGAGAGGAAAUGAUGUAAAACUAGAGCUAUUUCACAUACGAGAUUGAAACCCUCUGUUUCCUGCAGUAGCAUCCGACUCUGGGUUCUCUUUUGGGCCUCAAUGUAAUUUACGAAUCGACCCCU